UGAACGCUAGCGACAGGCCUAACACAUGCAAGUCGAGGGGCAGCACAAGGAGCAAUCUGAGGUGGCGACCGGCGCACGGGUGAGUAACACGUAUGCAACCUGCCUGUAAGCGGGGAAUAACCCGUUGAAAGACGGACUAAUACCGCAUAAUACUAAAUUACUGCAUGGUAAUUUAUUUAAACAUUUAUGGCUUACAGAUGGGCAUGCGCAUGAUUAGCUAGUUGGGGAGGUAACGGCUCCCCAAGGCAACGAUCAUUAGGGGUUCUGAGAGGAAGGUCCCCCACACUGGUACUGAGACACGGACCAGACUCCUACGGGAGGCAGCAGUGAGGAAUAUUGGUCAAUGGACGAGAGUCUGAACCAGCCAAGUCGCGUGCAGGAAGAAUGUUCCCUAUGGAUUGUAAACUGCUUUUGCAGGGGAAUAAAGUGCAUCACGUGUGAUGUUUUGUAUGUACUCUGCGAAUAAGGAUCGGCUAACUCCGUGCCAGCAGCCGC
rnacentral:rRNA from 1 species